rnacentral:lncRNA from 10 species
CAAAUCUGACAAGAGGUUUAUGAAUGCUACAAAUACAUAUGCCACCAUCUGAUAUCCUAGAAUGGUUAUUACCAGUGGGUCCCAGAGGAUUUCAUCCCAGAGGAUUUCACUUUCCAGGCUCACCGACUCGUGGGGAAUGUUAAGAAAGAUUAUGUAACUUCUCCAAGGCCACAGUGUCAUGAAAGGUAACAGUGGUGUUUAAAUAAAGGGGACUCUGUUCCAUACUAUACAACAUUUAACAGCUUUCCUGGCCUCCACCCAUUAGACACCAGUAUAACUUCCUCAGUUGCAACAACUAAAAAUAUCUCCAACCAUUGUCAAAUGUCUCCUGGGGGAAAAAUCACCCCUUUUGAGAAUUGCUCAGGUGGCUUGGAUGAGUGAAACCUCAUGAUUACUUUUAUUACCUUCCUUCAGUUGCUAAUGAAUAAAGUUCUAACUCGCAUAGUUUUUGUUGUUGGUUGCAUUUCCUCAUUUGUAAAUAUUUUCUUUUUAUUAUACACCAUGCAAUAAUAGCUACUGUUUUAUAAUCAUGUUUUUAUAAUUUGUUAAUGUAGAAUUAUAAUUUUUAGAGUG